rnacentral:rRNA from 1 species
CUACGGGCUGCACCAGUGGGGAAUAUUGGGCAAUGGGCGAAAGCCUGACCCAGCAACGCCGCGUGAAGGAAGAAGGUUUUCGGAUCGUAAACUUCUAUCCCAGGUGAAGAUAAUGACGGUAGCCUGGAAGGAAGCCCCGGCUAACUACGUGCCAGCAGCCGCGGUAAUACGUAGGGGGCAAGCGUUGUCCGGAAUGAUUGGGCGUAAAGGGCGCGUAGGCGGCCUUCUAAGUCCGAUGUGAAAGUCCUGCGUUUAAGGUGGGAAUUGCAUUGGAAACUGGAGGGCUUGAGUGCAGGAGAGGUAAGUGGAAUUCCCGGUGUAGCGGUGAAAUGCGUAGAGAUCGGGAGGAACACCAGUGGCGAAGGCGACUUACUGGACUGUAACUGACGCUGAGGCGCGAAAGUGUGGGGAGCAAACAGGAUUAGAUACCCUCGUAGUC